rnacentral:rRNA from 1 species
CUCGUAGGCGGUUUGUCGCGUCUGCUGUGAAAACUGGAGGCUCAACCUCCAGCCUGCAGUGGGUACGGGCAGACUAGAGUGCGGUAGGGGAGAUUGGAAUUCCUGGUGUAGCGGUGGAAUGCGCAGAUAUCAGGAGGAACACCGAUGGCGAAGGCAGAUCUCUGGGCCGUAACUGACGCUGAGGAGCGAAAGCAUGGGGAGCGAACAGGAUUAGAUACCCUGGUAGUCCAUGCCGUAAACGUUGGGAACUAGAUGUGGGGGCCAUUCCACGGUCUCCGUGUCGCAGCUAACGCAUUAAGUUCCCCGCCUGGGGAGUACGGCCGCAAGGCUAAA